GAGAAGCAGGAGAGACUGGAUGUAAUUGGGUGCUCAGUAGUCGGUGUAGAAUCUGUCUGACAUUGAUACCAACAGCUACAUCUGAUUACUGGGUCACUAAUUGCAUCAUCAAACUGCAGCCUACUGA
rnacentral:precursor_RNA from 14 species